AGCGAACGCUGGCGGCGUACUUAACACAUGCAAGUCGAACGGGGAUCGUCAGUGUAGCAAUACAUCGGCGGUUCUAGUGGCGCACGGGUGAGUAACACGUGGGUAACCUGCCCUUGAGUUCGGGAUACCCUUUCGAAAGGAAGGCUAAUACCGGAUACGUUCCUCGGAUUGCCAAAUCUGGGGAGGAAAGGUGGCGCAAGCUGCCGCUCUUGGAGGGGCUCGCGGCCUAUCAGCUAGNGGUGAGGUAACGGCUCACCAAGGCUAUGACGGGUAGCUGGUCUGAGAGGACGACCAGCCACACGGGAACUGAGACACGGUCCCGACUCCUACGGAGGCAGCAGUGGGGAAUUUUCCGCAAUGGGCGAAAGCCUGACGGAGUGACGCCGCGU
rnacentral:rRNA from 1 species